rnacentral:pre_miRNA from 1 species
GUAUGAAUCUCCUGUGGAUCUUGUUAAAUUGCAGAUUCUGACCCAAUAGGUCUGCGAUGGGGCCAGAGAUUCUGCAGGUCUGACAAGCUCCCAGAAGAUGCUAAU